UGCCCAAUGAAUUUUUAAAUGGCUGCAGUAUUAUGACUGUACAAAGGUAGCAUAAUCAAUAGUUUCUUAAUUAGAAGCUGGAAUGAAUGGAUGAACGAGAAAUUAACUGUCUCUGUUUAAAUAAAAGAAUUUUAUUUUUAAGUAAAAAAGCUUAAAUUUAAUUAAAAGACGAGAAGACCCUAUAGAGUUUUAUAUUAAUAUUAUUUUAUUAAAAAUUUAAUUUUAUUAUUAUUUUGUUGGGGUGAUAUAAAAAUUUAAAUAACUUUUUUUUAAAAUUAAACAAUUAUUUUUGAAAAAUUGAUCCAUUAUUAUGAUUAAAAGAAUAAAUUACCUUAGGGAUAACAGCGUAAUAUUUUUAUAGAGUUCAUAUUAAAUAAAAUGAUUGCGACCU
rnacentral:rRNA from 1 species